rnacentral:rRNA from 1 species
UACGAAGGGGGCUAGCGUUGCUCGGAAUCACUGGGCGUAAAGCGCACGUAGGCGGACUCUUAAGUCGGUGGUGAAAUCCUGGAGCUCAACUCCAGAACUGCCUUUGAUACUGAGAAGCUUGAGUCCGGGAGAGGUGAGUGGAACUGCGAGUGUAGAGGUGAAAUUCGUAGAUAUUCGCAAGAACACCAGUGGCGAAGGCGGCUCACUGGCCCGAUACUGACGCUGAGGCACGAAAGCGUGGGGAGCAAACAGG